rnacentral:rRNA from 1 species
GACGAACGCUGGCGGCGUGCCUAAUACAUGCAAGUAGAACGCUGAAGCGAGGAGCUUGCUCUUCUUGGAUGAGUUGCGAACGGGUGAGUAACGCGUAGGUAACCUGCCUUGUAGCGGGGGAUAACUAUUGGAAACGAUAGCUAAUACCGCAUAACAAUGGAUGACACAUGUCAUUUAUUUGAAAGGGGCAAUUGCUCCACUACAAGAUGGACCUGCGUUGUAUUAGCUAGUAGGUGAGGUAAUGGCUCACCUAGGCGACGAUACAUAGCCGACCUGAGAGGGUGAUCGGCCACACUGGGACUGAGACACGGCCCAGACUCCUACGGGAGGCAGCAGUAGGGAAUCUUCGGCAAUGGGGGCAACCCUGACCGAGCAACGCCGCGUGAGUGAAGAAGGUUUUCGGAUCGUAAAGCUCUGUUGUAAGUCAAGAACGGGUGUGAGAGUGGAAAGUUCACACUGUGACGGUAGCUUAACAGAAAGGGACGGCUAACUACGUG